AGUGAACGCUGGCGGUAGGCCUAACACAUGCAAGUCGAACGGCAGCACAGUAAGAGCUUGCUCUUACGGGUGGCGAGUGGCGGACGGGUGAGGAAUACAUCGGAAUCUACUUUUUCGUGGGGGAUAACGUAGGGAAACUUACGCUAAUACCGCAUACGACCUACGGGUGAAAGCAGGGGAUCUUCGGACCUUGCGCGAUUGAAUGAGCCGAUGUCGGAUUAGCUAGUUGGCGGGGUAAAGGCCCACCAAGGCGACGAUCCGUAGCUGGUCUGAGAGGAUGAUCAGCCACACUGAAACUGAGACACGGCCCAGACCCCUACGGGAGGCAGCAGGGGGGAAUAUUGGCCAAUGGGCGCAAGCCUGAUCCAGCCAUACCGCGGGGGUGAAGAAGGCUUUCGGGUGGUAAAGCCCUUUUGUUGGGAAAGAAAAGCAGCAGGUUAAUACCCCGCUGUUCUGACGUUACCCAAAGAAUAAGCACCGGCUAACUUCGU
rnacentral:rRNA from 1 species